rnacentral:lncRNA from 1 species
GGGGUGGAUUGCCUCAUCUACCUCUACUCCACGUUGCAUCGUUGGUUAGCACACUGUAUCAUAUAUCACAUUAAUUUUUUUUUUGUAAUUUUCAUAUUUGUUUUAUGGUCUAUAUUGGGGAUUCAUGAUGAUUUCUAAUAACCUUAUCUUUAAUGUUUGAACCUGCAUUCUCAUAUGAUUUUUAUUUUUUACUAUACCUUAUAGGACAUGUCACACCUUUAACCCACUUGUGGAGUCAAAAUC